rnacentral:rRNA from 2 species
GACGAACGCUGGCGGCGUGCCUAAUACAUGCAAGUCGAACGAACUCUGGUAUUGAUUGGUGCUUGCAUCAUGAUUUACAUUUGAGUGAGUGGCGAACUGGUGAGUAACACGUGGGAAACCUGCCCAGAAGAGGGGGAUAACACCUGGAAACAGAUGCUAAUACCGCAUAACAACUUGGACCGCAUGGUCCGAGUUUGAAAGAUGGCUUCGGCUAUCACUUUUGGAUGGUCCCGCGGCGUAUUAGCUAGAUGGUGAGGUAACGGCUCACCAUGGCAAUGAUACGUAGCCGACCUGAGAGGGUAAUCGGCCACAUUGGGACUGAGACACGGCCCAAACUCCUACGGGAGGCAGCAGUAGGGAAUCUUCCACAAUGGACGAAAGUCUGAUGGAGCAACGCCGCGUGAGUGAAGAAGGGUUUCGGCUCGUAAAACUCUGUUGUUAAAGAAGAACAUAUCUGAGAGUAACUGUUCAGGUAUUGACGGUAUUUAACCAGAAAGCCACGGCUAACUACGUGCCAGCAGCCGCGGUAAUACGUAGGUGGCAAGCGUUGUCCGGAUUUAUUGGGCGUAAAGCGAGCGCAGGCGGUUUUUUAAGUCUGAUGUGAAAGCCUUCGGCUCAACCGAAGAAGUGCAUCGGAAACUGGGAAACUUGAGUGCAGAAGAGGACAGUGGAACUCCAUGUGUAGCGGUGAAAUGCGUAGAUAUAUGGAAGAACACCAGUGGCGAAGGCGGCUGUCUGGUCUGUAACUGACGCUGAGGCUCGAAAGUAUGGGUAGCAAACAGGAUUAGAUACCCUGGUAGUCCAUACCGUAAACGAUGAAUGCUAAGUGUUGGAGGGUUUCCGCCCUUCAGUGCUGCAGCUAACGCAUUAAGCAUUCCGCCUGGGGAGUACGGCCGCAAGGCUGAAACUCAAAGGAAUUGACGGGGGCCCGCACAAGCGGUGGAGCAUGUGGUUUAAUUCGAAGCUACGCGAAGAACCUUACCAGGUCUUGACAUACUAUGCAAAUCUAAGAGAUUAGACGUUCCCUUCGGGGACAUGGAUACAGGUGGUGCAUGGUUGUCGUCAGCUCGUGUCGUGAGAUGUUGGGUUAAGUCCCGCAACGAGCGCAACCCUUAUUAUCAGUUGCCAGCAUUAAGUUGGGCACUCUGGUGAGACUGCCGGUGACAAACCGGAGGAAGGUGGGGAUGACGUCAAAUCAUCAUGCCCCUUAUGACCUGGGCUACACACGUGCUACAAUGGAUGGUACAACGAGUUGCGAACUCGCGAGAGUAAGCUAAUCUCUUAAAGCCAUUCUCAGUUCGGAUUGUAGGCUGCAACUCGCCUACAUGAAGUCGGAAUCGCUAGUAAUCGCGGAUCAGCAUGCCGCGGUGAAUACGUUCCCGGGCCUUGUACACACCGCCCGUCACACCAUGAGAGUUUGUAACACCCAAAGUCGGUGGGGUAACCUUUUAGGAACCAGCCGCCUAAGGUGGGACAGAUGAUUAGGGUG